CGGUCCAAACUCCUACGGGAGGCAGCAGUGGGGAAUAUUGCACAAUGGGCGCAAGCCUGAUGCAGCGACGCCGCGUGAGGGAUGACGGCCUUCGGGUUGUAAACCUCUUUCAGUAGGGAAGAAGCGAAAGUGACGGUACCUGCAGAAAAAGCGCCGGCUAACUACGUGCCAGCAGCCGCGGUAAUACGUAGGGCGCAAGCGUUGUCCGGAAUUAUUGGGCGUAAAGAGCUCGUAGGCGGUUUGUCGCGUCUGUCGUGAAAGUCCGGGGCUUAACCCCGGAUCUGCGGUGGGUACGGGCAGACUAGAGUGCAGUAGGGGAGACUGGAAUUCCUGGUGUAGCGGUGGAAUGCGCAGAUAUCAGGAA
rnacentral:rRNA from 14 species